rnacentral:rRNA from 1 species
GACGAACGCUGGCGGCGUGCUUAACACAUGCAAGUCGAACGGUGAAGCGCCUUCCUUUUUGGUGGGUGUGGCUGAGUGGCGCACGGGUGAGUAACACGUGAGUAACCUGCCCCCUUCUUCUGGAUAACCGCAUGAAAGUGUGGCUAAUACGGGAUAUUCCGGGUCUGUCGCAUGACGGGUCUGGGCAAGAUAUUGUUUCGGUGGGGGAUGGGCUCGCGGCCUAUCAGCUUGUUGGUGGGAUCAUGGCCUACCAAGGCGGUGACGGGUAGCCGGCCUGAGAGGAUGGACGAGAACACGGGGACUAAAAGGCGGCCCAGACGGCUACGGGAGGCAGCAGUGGGGAAAAGUGCACAAUGGGCGCAAGCCUGAUGAAGCGACGCGUCGUAAGGGAUGGAGGCCUUCGGGUUGUGAACCUCUUUGGCCAGUGGAGCAGGCCUGCCUCGUUUGUGGGUGGGUUGACGGUAGCUGGAGAAGAAGCGCCGGCUAACUACGUG